rnacentral:rRNA from 1 species
GAGGAUGGCAAGCGUUACCCGGAAUUAUUGGGCGUAAAGCGUCUGUAGGCGGCUAGUUAAGUCAAUUGUUAAAUCCCAGUGCUCAACAUUGGGACCGCAAUCGAAACUGACUGGCUUGAGAUCAGGAAAGGCAAAAGGAACUCCCGGUGUAGCAAUGAAAUGCGUUAAUAUCGGGGGGAACACCAAUGGCGAAGGCACUUUGCUGGCCUGUUUCUGACGCUGAGAGACGAAAGCGUGGGUAGCGGAUGGGGGAUUAGAUACCCCAGUAGUCCACGCUGUAAACGAUGGAUACUAGACAUAGGGAGAGUCGACCCUUUCUGUGUCGUAGCAAACGCGUUAAGUAUCCCGCCUGGGGAGUACGGCCGCAAGGCUA